rnacentral:rRNA from 1 species
AGCGAACGCUGGCGGCAGGCCUAACACAUGCAAGUCGAACGAAGUCUUCGGACUUAGUGGCGGACGGGUGAGUAACACGUGGGAACGUGCCUUUAGGUUCGGAAUAACUCAGGGAAACUUGUGCUAAUACCGAAUGUGCCCUUCGGGGGAAAGAUUUAUCGCCUUUAGAGCGGCCCGCGUCUGAUUAGCUAGUUGGUGAGGUAAAGGCUCACCAAGGCUACGAUCAGUAGCUGGUCUGAGAGGAUGACCAGCCACAUUGGGACUGAGACACGGCCCGAACUCCUACGGGAGGCAGCAGUGGGGAAUCUUGCGCAAUGGGCGAAAGCCUGACGCAGCCAUGCCGCGUGGAUGAUGAAGGUCUUAGGAUUGUAAAAUCCUUUCACCGGUGAAGAUAAUGACUGUAGCCGGAGAAGAAGCCCCGGCUAACUUCGUGCCAGCCGCCGCUGUAAAAC